rnacentral:rRNA from 1 species
AUGGAGCCCGCGCCACUCUCCUCGCUGCAGGAGGAAGGGGAACCCGACGAACCGUCCUCCUCCUCUGCCUUCUCCGCCGCCGCCGUGCCGCCUCGCCCCGCCACGCACCACUCGCUCCACAAGUACGCGCCCAUGGACUGGUCGGCCUACUUCGACGAGGAGCGCCCCGUCGCCAUCCCGAACACCGAGGACGUUUUCAAUGUGUACAUGGCCGGAUCGGAAGGGCCCGUCGUGUUCUGUCUGCACGGAGGCGGCUACUCUGGGCUUUCAUUUGCGCUAGCAGCUAAUCAGAUAAAGGGAAAGGCUCGUGUUGUUGCCAUGGAUUUACGGGGACAUGGGAAAUCUUCCACAAGUGAUGAUUUGGAUCUGUCCAUUGAAACUCUUACCAAUGAUGUAAUAGCUGUUAUACGUACAUUGUAUGGAGAUCCGCCACCAGCAAUUAUACUUGUUGGUCAUAGCAUGGGUGGUUCAGUGGCUGUACAUGUGGCUGCAAGAAGAGCAAUUCGUAAUCUUCAUGGUCUUGUUGUUGUUGAUGUGGUUGAGGGAACAGCAAUGGCUUCAUUGAUUCAUAUGCAGAAAAUCUUAUUAAAUCGAGCACAGCACUUCCCGAGCAUUGAAAAAGCAAUUGAAUGGAGUGUCAAAGGUGGGCCGCUACGGAACAUUGAUUCUGCGCGUAUUUCUAUUCCAUCUACCUUGAAGUAUGAUGAAUCAAAGGAAUGCUAUACAUACCGUACUCCUCUUGAGAAAACAGAGAAGUACUGGAAAGGAUGGUAUGAAGGUCUUUCAGACAAGUUCUUAUCUUGUCCUGUACAAAAGAUACUAUUAUUAGCUGGCACCGAUAGAUUGGACAGAGCUUUAACAAUUGGUCAAAUGCAAGGGAAGUUUCAAAUGAUAGUAGUUCGACACACUGGACAUGCCAUACAGGAAGAUGUGCCUGAAGAAUUUGCAUCACACAUACUGAACUUCAUAUCUCGCAACAAAAUAGGGCCCAAUGGUGUUGAGAUACCUGGCCUCAUAAAAAAAUGGCAGCAAUAG